GGGGGGAGGGUUGACCGUGUGACAACGCUGAGGAAGGGGGGGUUUUGUUUUAAACAGAGAAGAUGAUGGCAAUGUACCCCUGGGAAGAAGAAACAGGAGGCAAAACAAUUUUUAAGAACUGGUUUUGUGGUGGUGUGUGGGCCUCCCCGUCGCGCUCCGCGUUCUGUUACUAAACAUGUUUCCGUGUAAAGCUGUGUUUUACUCCUCAAUCUCCAUCACUGGUGUCAACCAACUCAAGGGCCCAGGGAGUCAGAUGGUCAUUCUUUAGGGUGACUUGGCUCAUUGGUUUGUGUUCUUGACAUGUUUUAUUUUAAUUUGAUUUCAUCCCCCAUUGUUAUGGCUGCCCAGUGGGCCCCUUCUCCACUUCUCCAGGCUGGAGGAUGUUUCUGACACAAUGUACAUUCCUUCCAUUCUUCAAGCUAUUCCCCUCACAGCUCCGAUAGCGUUAGCAUAGCGUUAGCAUGGCCCUGGCUGUGUUUGGUCCACGGGGAGAGCCACCAGGUGUCCCUGGACUCAGCCAGAAUGUGACCCUGCCCCCCCCACCCGCCAACCCCCUACCCCAGACCUCCGGUCAAUGCCCCUGCCCCCCAGCGCUCUGGUCAAUGCCCCAACCACCCACCCACCUCCAGUCCCAACAUUCUGACACGGUGACUUCAUUCCUGCUUGUUUCCACCGUCUCCAUGACAACAGCGGACAUUGGCGCCCCCCCCGGUGGAUAAGCCCUCUUCCUCUGGGUCCGUAUUCACUCUCCGCUUCUAUAGGAUAACGUUCGUAUCUCUGUGAAGUCCUCUGCAUCUCCCACAACACGCUCAAUUUCACCAAGUUUUUUAGGACACCUUAUAUUUUUGUUUUUGUAUACUCAUCUUUUAUCUGAACUGUAUUGUGUUUCAGUGAAUCUGCAGCCGUCCGGGCAAAACAACAUGUGUUUCCUACACUUUUCAACAUGAAGUACUUUAAAGGGGAAAGGAGGGCUAACUUUAAAUAUCUUUGUGGCUAUGUGUGUGUGUGUGUGUGUGUGUGUGUGUGUGUGUGUGUGUGUGUGUGUGUGUGUGUGUGUGUGUGUGUGUGUGUGUGUGUGUGUGUGUGUGUGUGUGUGUAUGUGUGUGUGUGUGCACCAAAUGGGUUGAUGUCGCGUCCUGCAACAGCACUAUUCCCAGUGAACACGCGCGUCAAACGAUGAUGAAAAGCAUUGUGAGUACAUAGUAAGUACUGUUACCGCUGUGUGAAAACUCUUAUGCAUUAGAAACCCUAAAGGCUCCCCAACAACAUGUCCAUGUACCAAGUAUUGUCCUUUGCCAGGGUUCAAACACACGCCUACAACAGGGAGGGGGGCUGUUGUACUCCAGCAGGAGGCCAUCCGUUCCAUUUAGUUGGUGUUUAAUGGUGUGUCUCGGUCCUGUGGACUACAGCCUGGUCCCCGGUCCUGCUUCUGAACUAGGGGGGGACUCUGCGAUCCCGCCGCCCGGGUCUGGCUGUGAGUUGGUUAUUGAUAUGAAGAGAUAUUAAAGGUGAUACUUUUAUUAUUUUUAUAUGUCUUUACUGCUUUUUUCUGUUUCACGCUGUGCACAUUAAAAUAUAAUCUUAUCUCA
ensembl:lncRNA